rnacentral:misc_RNA from 1 species
AUCAAAAAGCCAUUGGCACUGUGGCUGCUGCCCAAGCCAACUUCAUGCGUGUAAUCAUCCAGUCACUCCCUUCCUCCUCUGAGCUUUCUAGCACCUUCCAGAAGAGCGAAGAGGAAGCUUCUAGUAGUAACUCCGAUGAAGGUAAAAUUGGUGUUGAAUUGCUUUGUGUGGUGAGGGCGGUGCUGAAGAAGAUAAAGAGGAGAGUGCUGGUAGGGGACAAGGUAGUGGUAGG